rnacentral:tRNA from 1 species
GGGGUAUAGCUCAGCUGGGAGAGCGCUUGAAUGGCAUUCAAGAGGUCAGCGGUUCGAUCCCGCUUAUCUCCA